GCAGGGUGGCCACUCAGUAAUCAGCUCAAGUUAGAAUGUGGGCAACUCGGCAGUCGUUGCGCAGGCACUUUGGUGACUCUAGAUAAACUUGGGCCGAUCGCAUGUCCCCUUGACAGCGACAACGCAUUCGGAUGUCUGCCCUAUCAACUUUCGAUGGUAAUUUCUGCUCCUACCAUGGUGACCACGGGUAACGGGGAAUCAGGGUUCGAUUCCGGAGAGGGAGCCUGAGAAACGGCUACCACAUCCAAGAAAGGCAGCAGGCUCGCAAAUUACCCACUCCCGACGCGGGGAGGUAGUGAC
rnacentral:rRNA from 1 species